AGAUAAAGCAAGUAAAGCAGAUUUGAUGUGCUCCACACAUUAUUAUGCUGUCGGGAACAAUGAACAGCUACUGCUUUGCCAUCAAACCUUCAAGUAAAGCCAUCUCAACAAAAUAGUCACUCAUUCAUUACCUCUUCUCACUAUCUGCAUUACCCUUUCUUACUUGCAAUUUUCACAACCCUUUCUUCUUUUGGGUUCAACCACUUUCUUUCCAACCAUGCCAGUACUAGAAACCCUUGGUGGUGCUCUUUUUGGUGCUGUCCUUCAGGUGCUGUUUGACAAGCUGGAUUCUCAUCAAGUUUUGGAUUACUUUCUUGGAAGAAAGCUCGAUGGGAGACUGCUGAAAAAGUUGAAGUGGAAGCUGGUGUCUGUCAAUGCUGUUGUUGAUGAUGCAGAACAAAAGCAGUUCACUGAUAAAAAUGUGAAAGAAUGGCUUGAUGACGUCAGAGACGUGUUGCUUAAUACCGAGGAUCUGUUGGAGGAAAUAGACUGCGAAUUCACCAAAACUGAGUUGGAAGCUGAAUCCCAGACCAGUGCUAGCAAGGUAUGCGAUUUUGAAUCAAUGAUCAAAGAUGUCCUUGAUGAACUAGAUUCUCUUUUAAAUUUAAAGGAUACUCUACGUUUGAAAAAUGUUAGUGGUGAUGGGGUUGGAUCAGGAUCGGGUAGUAAAGUGUCACAGAAAUUGUCAUCCACAUCUUUGGUGGUUGAAAGUGUUAUUUAUGGCAGAGAUGAUGACAAAGAUAUGAUCCUUAAUUGGCUGACUUCUGACACUGACAAUCAUAACAAGAUAUCAAUACUUUCGAUUGUGGGAAUGGGUGGGAUGGGUAAGACCACUCUUGCCCAACAUGUAUAUAACAACCCAAGGAUAGAGGAGGCUAAAUUUGACAUCAAAGUCUGGAUCUGUGUUUCGGAUGAUUUUGAUGUUUUGAUGUUAAGCAAAACAAUUCUUAACAAAAUCACUAAAUCCAAAGAUGACAGUGGAGACGACCUAGAAAUGGUUCAUGGAAGAUUGAAAGAAAAGUUGUCGGGGAAUAAAUAUCUUUUCGUUCUGGAUGAUGUUUGGAACGAAGAUCGAGACCAAUGGAAGGCUUUACAAACUCCUCUUAAAUAUGGGGCUAAGGGAAGUAAAAUUCUUGUCACGACUCGCAGUAACAAUGUUGCUUCAACCAUGCAGUCAAACAAAGUACAUGAACUAAAGCAAUUACGAGAAGAUCACAGCUGGCAAGUUUUCGCUCAGCAUGCAUUCCAAGAUGAUUAUCCUAAGUUGAAUGCUGAGCUGAAGGAGAUUGGUAUAAAGAUAAUUGAGAAGUGCCAAGGGUUGCCUCUAGCCUUAGAAACAGUUGGAUGUCUUUUACACAAAAAGCCAUCUAUUUCACAAUGGGAAGGUGUAUUGAAAAGCAAGAUAUGGGAGUUACCAAAAGAAGAAAGUAAAAUCAUCCCUGCUUUAUUGUUGAGCUAUUUCCAUCUUCCUUCUCAUCUGAAGAGAUGUUUCGCUUAUUGUGCCUUAUUCCCCAAAGAUCACAAGUUUUACAAGGAGAGCUUAAUUCAGUUAUGGGUGGCUGAAAAUUUUGUACAAUGCUCUCAACAGAGUAAUCCUCAAGAAGAAAUUGGUGAACAAUACUUCAAUGAUCUAUUAUCAAGGUCCUUCUUUCAACGAUCAAGUAUAGAAAAGUGUUUUUUCAUGCAUGACCUUCUCAAUGAUUUGGCAAAAUAUGUUUGUGGGGACAUCUGUUUCAGGUUACAAGUUGAUAAACCAAAAAGCAUAUCAAAAGUCCGUCAUUUUUCAUUUGUAACUGAAUUUGAUCAAUAUUUUGAUGGGUACGGGAGUUUAUAUCAUGCUCAAAGGCUACGAACAUUUAUGCCCAUGCCUCUACUAUUUAUAAAGUGGGGUGGUAGGAAACUAGUAGAUGAGUUGUUCUCGAAGUUUAAGUUCUUACGCAUCUUAUCUUUGUCUCAAUGUGACCUUAAAGAGAUGCCUGACUCUGUAGGCAAUCUUAAGCAUCUUCGUUCGUUAGACCUUUCCGGUACUUACAUAAAAAAACUACCUGAUUCAACGUGUUUUCUCUGUAACUUGCAAGUCUUGAAGCUGAAUAAUUGUUUCCUUUUGGAGGAGCUACCCUCAAAUUUGCAUAAACUCACCAAUUUGCGUUGUCUUGAAUUUAUGCACACUAAAGUGAGAAAGAUGCCAAUGCAUUUUGGAAAACUGAAGAAUCUUCAGGUGUUGAGUUCGUUUUACGUUGGAAAGGGCAUCGACAACUGCAGUAUUCAACAGCUAGGGGAACUCAAUCUUCAUGGAAGCUUAUCAAUUGAGGAGCUGCAAAAUAUUGUAAAUCCCUUGGAUGCAUUGGCAGCAGAUUUGAAAAAUAAAACUCAUCUUCUGGAUCUAAAGUUAGGAUGGAAUCGGGGCCGGAACCUUGAUGAUUCAAUAAAAGAAAGACAAGUACUAGAGAAUCUGCAACCUCCAAGACAUUUGGAGAAAUUGUCAAUCCGAUACUACGGUGGUACUCAAUUUCCUAGUUGGUUAUCGGAUAAUUCAUUAUGUAAUGUGGUGUCCUUAACCUUGACGAACUGUAAAUAUUUCCUAUGUUUGCCUCCCCUUGGACUUUUGCCAUUUCUGAAGGAGCUUUCAGUUGAAGGGCUUGAUGGGAUUGUGAGUAUCAAUGCUGAUUUUUACGGGAGUAGCUCUUGUUCAUUUACAUCCUUGGAAUCUUUGAAGUUCGACAAUAUGAAGGAAUGGGAAGAAUGGGAAUGUAAAGGUGUGACAGGUGCUUUUCCACGUCUUCGACGUCUUUUUAUAAUGCGUUGUCCCAAGCUGAAAGGGCACUUGCCAGAGCAACUAUGCCAUUUAAAUUAUCUAAAGAUCUCUGGGUGUGAACAACUUGUACCUUCUGCUCUCAGUGCCCCUGAUAUUCAUCAAUUAUCCCUAGGAGACUGUGGAAAGCUGCAAAUUGAUCAUCCGACAACUUUGAAAGAGCUUAUCAUUGAAGGUCACAACGUGGAGGCAACCUUACUGGAAGAGAUUGGACGCAAUUACUCUUGUUCAAAUAACAAUAUUCCCAUGCACAGUUGCUAUGAUUUCCUUGUAUGGUUGGGCAUCAGUGGUGGCUGCGACUCUCUAACCACCAUUCACUUAGAUAUGUUCCCAAUACUCAAGAACCUUCUUUUCCGGAACUGUCCUAAUCUACAGAGGAUUUCACAGGGGCAGGCUCAUAAUCAUCUCCAGUGGCUGAAUAUCGAUAAGUGCCCUCAAUUAGAAUCAUUACCUGAAGAAAUGCAUGUCCUCCUUCCAUCUCUUGAUUCUCUGUGGAUAGAUGAUUGUCCAAAAGUUGAAAUGUUUCCCGAAGGAGGUUUGCCAUCAAAUUUAAAAGUUAUGUGUCUCCAUGGUGGUAGUUACAAACUUAUGUCCUUAUUGAAAAGUGCCUUGGGAGGCAAUCACUCUCUGGAAAGCUUAUCUAUUGGAGGAGUGGAUGUUGAGUGUCUUCCUGACGAAGGUGUACUGCCACACUCUCUUGUUACUCUAGACAUCAGACAUUGUGAAGAUCUAAAAAGACUGGACUACAAAGGUCUCUGCCACCUCUCCUCUCUCAAGAAAUUGCGUCUUGUUGACUGCCCCAGGCUCCAAUGCUUACCAGAGGAGGGUCUGCCCAAAUCCAUUUCAACUUUGAACAUUUGGGACUGUCAGUUGCUCAAACAACGUUGCCGGGAACCCGAAGGCGAAGACUGGCCAAAGAUUGCUCACAUUAAACGCGUGUCGUUAAACGAUUGAAAGAGCUGUCAACCAGGAGCUAUGUUAGUACAGGAUUUCCAAAUUGGUUUGUACUUUGAAGAUUAAUCAAUAUUGGGGGAGUAAUAGUUUGUACGUCAAAAGUAUCAUCAGAAAUUCCAGCCACUGAAUGCCUCCAAAUAUUCUAGCUUUGAAUAAGGAAACUAGGAAAUUGGUGAAGGUCAUCAAACUCAAAUUUUCUUCUGUCCAUGGAAAAGAUACAUUGCACGAUGACCAAUGUCCUACUGGUGCCUUUGAAAGUCCUUGAGUGCAGGUGGUUAAUGAGAUGCAGAUUAGCUACUUGCUAUCCUGGGAGAUGCAUGCUUAUUCUAAAUUGUUUUAAACAUUAGUUUAUGUACAGCUAAAUUUGUAACAGGAUUAUGGGCAUUGCUUUUAUCGGGAAUUCACUGACUUAUUAAUUCCAGAGCUUACAUCAUGCAAGUACAUUUCUAAAAUUUCAAAUUUGUUUUCUUCUAAAACUAAUGAUCGUGAAUUCAUGAUACUUUUAACUUCUUUGGGGCUCUCUUCAGCUAUCUGAAUCCAUGUAAAUACUCUAUAAUUAUUUUCUAAACCCAAAUUUUA